CCUACGGUAGGCAGCAGUCGAGAAUCAUUCACAAUGGGGGAUACCCUGAUGGUGCGACGCCGCGUGAGGGAAUGAAGGUCUUCGGAUUGUAAACCCCUGUCAUGUGGGAGCAAAUUAAAAAGAUAGUACCACAAGAGGAAGAGACGGCUAACUCUGUGCCAGCAGCCGCGGUAAUACAGAGGUCUCAAGCGUUGUUCGGAAUCACUGGGCGUAAAGCGUGCGUAGGCUGUUUCGUAAGUCGGGUGUGAAAGGCGCGGGCUCAACCCGCGGACGGCACAUGAUACUGGGAGACUAGAGUAAUGGAGGGGGAAGCGGAAGUCUCGGUGUAGCAGUGAAAUGCGUAGAUAUCGAGAGGAACACUCGUGGCGAAGGCGGGUUCCUGGACAUUAACUGACGCUGAGGCACGAAGGCCAGGGGAGCGAAAGGGAUUAGAUACCCGUGUAGUC
rnacentral:rRNA from 1 species